GCUUCUUGAUGCAGUCUCUGAUGAGAGAGACAUUUGGACAGGAGUUAAUGUUGACCUGAUGAGCAAUGAGGAGGAUGGCCUGCAAAACGGAAAAGCAGUGUUUUGCGUUGUCAAGAAAUACAGAGCUGCUCAGAGAGGGACCAUAGCUACUUGGCGAGCCACACCACACGGAUCAUGUCUGGGGACUUUUCGUCAAGGCAACAUAGAUCCCAUGGGCCCCUCAACACUAUAGCAGCACUUUAACCCUAAUUGAGAUUUGCCAUGGGCAAAGCUGGAUGACUCAUGUCAUCUCUCCCCCCUUAACCCAUGUAUGCAGGCCAGUGUGAAGCAACUGUGGAGUUACUGAUCCAUCCAAACACAGGACUUCGAGUAUCAUGGUGUGGAGUCUCCUCGGGUCUUCAUCUCCAGUUACAGUACCUCUCUAUGAUUUCCCCAAGCUGGGGGAGACGAUGGAGAAGGAACUUCCAUUCCCAACAUGAAAAUCAACCAGAGGAAGAAAGAGGCUCUCCAAGCCAACACAUGGAGAUCAGCUAUUGUAUCUGUGUGGCUGCAAUACAGUAUCAAUUUCAGGUCUCCUUUAGUGUAGAUAUAACCAUCUUGGUAAGGGAGAUCAGAAUGUACUAUCAGGCUUUUGGUCUAGAUAAUGAGUCUCUGCAGAGCCUUGCUGAUGAACAAAUGUGCCAGUGGAGGAGCUGAAAGCAGUCCUCAAGUCCCCUCUGAACAAGGAGAUAAGACAAGACGCAUCAAAAUUCUGACCAAGGCACUUGGGUCAACAUCGAUGGUGGUUCAGUACUUCUUGAGUACCAUUCCAGUCUUGGGCUCCAUGGCUGCAGGAGGUAUUUCAUAUUGCACCACCUACUACAUGCUGAAGAUCUGUCUGAAGAUGCGCAACAUUUACUGAAGAAGGCUCUGAAGGCCGAUGAGUGAGAUAAUGUCAAAGAGACUGUUUUUAUUGUGUUUAUCAAGAUCGAGGGAUGUUUUUUCAUAAGU